UACGGGGUAGGGCAAGCGUUGUCCGGAAUCAUUGGGCGUAAAGAGCGCGUAGGCGGCCCUGUAAGUCCGCUGUGAAAGUCAAGGGCUCAACCCUUGGAUGCCGGUGGAUACUGCAGGGCUAGAGUCCGGAAGAGGCGAGUGGAAUUCCUGGUGUAGCGGUGAAAUGCGUAGAGAUCCGGAAGAACACCGGUGGCGAAGGCGGCCUGCUGGGCAGUGGCUGACACUGAGGGACGAAAGCUAGGGGAGCGAAUGGG
rnacentral:rRNA from 1 species